CUCCCAAACCACAGCCUGGUGCAUCUGUCGUUUAAGACACUCCUCAGGGGCCAUUUUACAUUUAGGUCUGGGAUUAUCUGAGAAACCUUGAGCCUCUUGAAGGUAGAAACCAAGUGUAUUGAGCUCUGCACUGUCCCCCACCUCUUCUCCCAGGAAUGAAGCAUGGUCACCACGUCAUGAAUAUUGUUAGACAAAAGCAAUGGCAGCAUCUUUUGGAGAGUAACCAAGCGCAAUUCCUUCUCUUUAUGUGGAUUUCCUCAUUUAAUCUUUGCCACAACCCUUGGAGGUAGCCAAUAUUAUCAUCCCCAUUUUACAGAUGAAGAAGGCGAGGCUCAGGAGGCCUUUUCCUAGAUGAGAGAGGCGGACAAGGCAAGGGAUUACUUCCCUAUCACACAGGCGAGAAAACCAAGGGCCAAAGAGAGUAAGAGGGUGCCCACAUCAUUGGCAAAUUAGCCAUGGGGUGACCUGGGCCCCAGGCAUUGCUCAGCAGCUUCCUUUUUUCUCAGCCUGGGAACGCUGGGUCAGCUUUGGCCCUUCCAUCUCCAGAGGCAGAUGACCACAGUGGUUCUGAUGGGCCCCCAUCCAGGCCAUGGGACCCCCUCUGAGUCUCCCUCUACUUUCCCACAAUGUCCUGUCAAACCGGCCCAGGUAGCUGUCUUCAGCCUCCAGAUGCUCAAGCUCUCCUAUGAGAGGAAGAGUAUCAUGGUUCCACCAUGAUUGUAUAAGUCCCCUCCCGACACCCAGGCAGGCAACUUUUUGUGGCUUUCACUUCAGGAAAGUUGAGGUGGGUGCGUAGAGGUAGAGGGAGGCGGGGAGGCUGGAGGGUGGGAAUUCCACCCACACAGAUGGGCCUCUGAAACCUCCAAGUUCUUCUCACUGCCCCUGCUGUGACUGGUUGUGUUUCUAAAACAUGGCUGUCCUCUUGAUCAUCAAAAUCGUGCAAGUUAUGGAUGGGGUACCCCUGGCAGGGGGUGGGAGGGGAGUUGACAGUUUUAGUAAUAUUAGAUUUCUUAAGCUGAGUGGAAGGGCAGGGGUGUUUGUAACACAGAUCCCCAAACCACUGCCCGUCUCUAUCAGGGCCACAUGGCUUUCCAAAUCCAGAAUUCUGUGGAUUUUAGAAGGUAGUACAGGGUGCGUGCACACUAGGUACGUUACAGGACACGCCCGUGGGAUCACGGUGAUGCCCUGCAGUCAAGCCCACUGAUAUUUCUCGGCAUAUGAAUGAUCACAUGAAGCAAGAUAAGUACUGUGUUAAUAUUAUUAACAGCCUUCCAUCCAAGCGGUCACGUUUGCUGACAAAAUGUAAAAAAAUCUUGCAGCCUUCAGAGCUUGUUUGAUUUUGUCUUGCAAAUGGGAUUGACAGUCUUAGUGGUGGCAAGUGAGAUCUGUGAUCUUCACUGCAGCGUGAAGGAGUUUUAGUUGCGGCAAGCAUUGUCUGGUGCCCUGACCAGGGAUUGAACCCAGGCCCUCUCCAUUCGGAGCACAGAGUCUUAGCCACUGGACCACCAGGGAAGUCCCUUCAAUAUCUCUUCAUGCGUGAAAAUGACAGCCAACUGUAAUGUAGGCACAUGGUGGAAAACAGAGAAAAGCAUAAAGAAACAAACUCACCCUGCUCAUUCACGGCCAUCACCCAUUUGCCAUAACUAAGAGAUCAAUGUGGGUUCGUUGCUAUUAACCACAUUCCAGACUUUGAAUUUCACAAGUUUUUUCACUGAUAUACUUUUUCUGUCCUAGGACCCAAUCCAGGUUAGCACAUUGCCUUUAGGUUUUUUUAAAAAAUCUUAAAAAAAUUUAUAUUAUUUAGUUUUUUUUUUAAUCUGAAAAGUUCAGAGUCCUCUAACAACCAGCUAUAAACCCCGUCUCCCGGAGUGCCCUUCUUCUUUCCUCCUCCCCUGCCUUUUCUCGGAGCCCCCUCUUAUUUCUGGUUCCUGAGGACUUCCCUUCUUGCAUUUGAGUCUAACUAUGGACAUCAUGCUUUUUAGGAAACUGUUAACCAAGACUUGGGCGUGCUGGAGUGCUUCCAGAAAUCAGUUUGAAGCAGCUCUUCAGGGGCAGAGAGAGUGCCAAGCAGAUGUGUCCUGGCCAGGGAAGAGCAGUUCCAGGACCAGGGUGGGAGUGGGGGUGGGGGGCAGCCUGCAGGGGGAGGAAUCCCAGGGUGGCUGAGGGAGGGGUUGUUUUCUGGGAGGUGGGUAAAGGACUUGCAAAUCAGGCCAGGAGUUAGGUCGAGAUCACGUCAAGGAGACUUAAAGGCCCGAAGAAAGGAGUAGCAGCACAUAGACGGCUUUGGCGUGGGGUGUGGAAGGACGUUCCUUGGUUUGCCACUGGUGCAGAACGGCUGGACUGGGGAGGCGUCAGCCUGAACCUGUGUUAAAGUGAUAAGAGGAGUGGCCCUCAAGCGUCCUUCAUUGCACACAGGGAGCUCCAGAGGCCGAGAACCAGGAUGCUUGUUCAAGGUCACGGGUCACAUUCACAUCAGAGUCCGUGACUGUGGCCCCAGCAUUUUUAUGUAAGUAUGGAUGGGUUUCCAACAACAGCUGUUUCGUUCUUACUCUGGGCCAGGCCCACAUAGCUCCUGACUUCAUGAAUCAUAAAGCUUAGAGGGCAUGGACAGUGAUAGAUAAUACCUAACUAGCCAAACAAAAGACUAUGUAACCACUCAUUGUGCCUGGAGCUAUGAAUUAAAGCCAGGUGGUCAGAGAAGGGGCUUAUACAACUCAUAACCCCAAAUUAGGAGGCUAUUUGAAAGUUAUCUAGUGCUCUGGGUCUUGGACUUUGGCCUACAUCAGAAUUACCUGCAGGGGUGGUUAAAACAGAUUCCUGGCUCAGGCUCAGUUUCUACCUUGGUGGGCCGAGCGUGGUGCCUAGGGUCUGCAUCUCCAACAAGCUCUCUCCCAGGUGGUGCCAAUGCUGCUGGUUGAGGGGCCACGCUUGGUCUCCGGAGUAUAAAAAUGCAGUUAGAUCCAUGGCUAGCAGAUGACGUAUCACUUGGCUUUGCCGAUGGUUUCAUUUCAGAGGUGGAGGAAGUGAGCCAUGCGGGGAAGUCCUGAUACCCGUUCAAACCUGAAAGAAGCUGUUGAGAAUGUGGAUAAGUGAGAAUUCAGGAGAGGAAGAGCCACGUGAUCCCCCAGCUGCAGGUCCUGGGGAACUCCCUUCUGUUUUCAGAUGACUGGUGCUAGGCUGUCUCCAAGAGUCCCUGGGGCCCACUGCUCCGCACACCACUCCCAUCACUCAGCAUGAAGAGUCAAGGGUCCUGGGCUUGCGGGUUGCUGUCUGCUCUGAGGAGGGCCCCCUCUCACAGUGAACCUGGUUUCUUCCCCUCUACCCCCACUGCCCUGGAGAUAUAUCUAUUGGGCUGCUGUCUGCAGGCCUCUGAGCCUUGUAGUUACCCAGCCUUGAGACCAAAGACGGGCCAGGAAACAGCAACAGAGACAUCAAUGGUUUAUUAGACAGGAGAUCUUAAGCAGGAGGUCCUGGAGUGACUGGCUAUCCUAGACAGAAUGUGGCAGAAGGGGAGGAGGAGGCUACUAUUUAUAGAAUAACUAACAUCACCGUGGGUCUUAUCAGUUACCAGGGAAACCAGCAGCUAGGGCGUGUCCCUCGCCACCCUUCAGGUUAAGGACCACGACUAUCUGAAUCACUUUGAGGGCAGGUGUUUCCCUUUAAUAAACUAGCAGGUGGAGCCAUUCUGACCUCAGGAUUAGAACAGUCAAUCCCUAACCGGGGGCCCCAGGGCAAAGGUAUUCCUGUGAGUUGGGGGUAGGUGAAGCAGAGAGUCCUCGAACGGGGGGUGUACAAAGCAAGUGAACUUGUAGAGUAGCCUGAUCAGACACCAUCCCUACCAUCCACGCCUCCUACUCCAGGAAGGAGAUUUUCUUAAACCUCUUGGAUUCUGCAGUGGGGUGAGUGGUUGACUCAGCAAAUCCCACCCUCGUCCCUCUGAUGUCAAGCAUAGAAUAUUGGUGGGGAAAUGCUGUUCCUUUCGUCCAGGACUUGUGACCUGACUUCUGUUGUGCUGGGUCUUCGCUGCCAUGUGCCGGCUCUCUAGUUGCAGUGAGCCGGGGCUACUCUCCAGCUGCGGUGCUCGGACUUCUCACUGUGGUGGCUUCUCUUGUGGAGGGGCUCUAGAGUGCUGGCCCAGCAGCUGUGGCACUCAGGCUUUGGUUGCCCGCGGCAUGUGAGACCUUCCUGGACCAGGGAUCAAACCUGCGUCCCCUGCAUUGGCAGGCGGAUUCUAAUCCCCUGGACCACCAGGGAAGUCCACACAGGCCUUGCAGUGGCACUUCAAGUGGCAGCAAGAGCCCUGGGCUGGGAGGCUGAGGCUUGGUUCCUGCCCAGCCCUGGGCCUCAUUUUCCCCUCCUGUAAAAUGAGAGGGUUAGACCUGAUGAUCCCCAAGUUCCCUUUUGAUGCUGACCUUGUAAGAUAUUUGUCCACAUGACAUGACUCUAAUGGCGGAAUCUCAGGCACCAUUACUGGGGUGAGCAGGAGGUAUUUUGGAGAAGGCCCUGCCUAGCGCGUUCUGCUGCCUUCCCCACAGGACAAGUUGAGCUGGCCCUGCAGUCUUUUUGAAUAUCUGCCUGUGCAUAUGGCUUUGGUAGAGAGGAAGGGAGCAGGAGCUAGAAUUACCCUGGCUGGGUUUCCCAGCCUCCUCCUUGGUCAGCAGAGAGCAUCUCUCAGACAAUCUCUCUUCUCUCCGCCUUUGACCCCCUUCCCCAGCUACCAGCAGAAGUCCCAUUUCCUGACCUGCUUCCUGCAUGAGCUGUCACUCAUUUCUGUCCCAUGUGGUUCCAGCGUUGGGCAGGAAAUACGGGACUGUGGGGGCUUCAGAUUCAGACGACAGCAGGGAGGGUAAGGGGAUGGCACCAAGGUCCAGUUUCUCAUGGAAGAGGGGGAGGGUGGAGCCUCUAAAAAGCAAAUCAGACUUUAACAUGGAAGAGAAACUCUGAUGAGCCUCAGCCAGACCACUUUAUGAUGCUCAAAGCAUAUGUCUUCUUCCCACCUCAGGCUAGAAUACAAGAGGUUUCUUUCUGCCAUCUCAGUCUUGGGAGGUACCAGGCUCCUGAGAAGCUGUGUGAAGAAAAUCCCUCACUGCCACAUUGGCCAAAUGGAAUGGGGAAAUGGCACAGGAAGACACUGGCAUGUGCAAAGUCCCUGGGGUAGAAGGGAACACGAAAGAGUCAAGAACCUGAAAGGAGGUCGAUGUAGCAGGGAGGAGAGGGAGAGAGGGGAGGCCUGGGUCCACGCUGUGAAGGUGCAGAGGGGGCCUGGCCUUUACUUUGAUGAGCAGGAGAGAUGGCCAGGGGCAAGGGCCAGAGUGGAACUUGGCAGAGGGACACUACUUAGAGUUUAGGAAGACUUGAGGGGACAGCACCAUCUUCUGAGCCAGGUUCUUUCCUCCUCUCUCCCCUCCAAAUGCUCUCUUGGGCCUGUUUCUCUUCUCUUGGGGUCCAAAGCAAGGUCUGACCCAGGAAGCUGACCAGGAGCGCUCAUGCAGGCUGGCAGGCAGGGCUCCUGGCAGAGGAGUCAAUGUGGUCUCACCAGUUCCCAAGUCCUGAGUCCAACAUGGAAAUUACAGGCCUUGGGAUGUAAGCCUCUGUGGGUAGUGACACCAGCUGGGAGACUCACUGUACCCGAGACAGCACCCCCGAGGGGGUUGGGAAGCCCAGGCCCCCACAUUGAUGCCCCAAGGACAGUAUGAGGAUAACCAGGCAGCUCCUUCCCCAAAACAGAAACUUUCACCAUCACAAGUGCCAGAGAGCUUGCUUGGAGCUCUGCCUCAUGUGGACCACAGCCCAGCCAGAAGCCCACAAGGCCCCGGGGCUCAUUUCUACUCCAGGAAAGUGCAGCCCCUCAGCUUCUUUCACCAUCCCGGGAGAGCAUCUCUGCACAAGAGAUGCAGUUAGCAUCUCAUCACUGUGGUUAGCAGGACAUGUGGAGUCCCAGAGCUUGCCAGAACAGCACCAACCUGCUGGACACCUCUCCUAACUCCUGCCCCUUCCCUCCAAGCCCAGAGACUCAGACCUAGGCUUACAUCAAAAGACUGGGAAGUCCCCCAGCACAGCUGGGGGCAUCUGCUGCUUCCUCCAGGGAGGAAACAAGGGCUGCCCAAGGCCAGGUCCUGUGGACGCACAUCCUGCCACCUGGGCUGCUGACCCAGGAGAGGUUAGGGCCCUUGUGUGGGACCAGCCUUGGGCAAUGGGGAAUGCAGGGGGAAGGCUUGGUCUUCAAAUCUACAUCCAAAUACCAGUAUCUUGAAAUAGUAGUUUGGAGUUCCUCUGCCUCGGUUCCCUCAUCUGUUAAAUGGGAUGAUGAUAAUACUUUCCACACAGUGGUCUGGUAAGGACUGAGUUCGUUUGGAGGGACUAACAUGGUGGCCAAGAGCAGGGGUUCUGGAGUGCCCCUGCUUGGGUCCAAACCCCAGCUUCUUCGCUGCUAGCUGUGUAAUCUCGACAUGUUACCUCCCUGUUUCCUCACUUGUAAAAAUGGAGAUUAAAAGGCUGCCAUGAGGAUUAAAGGGGCAAGCAUAAGUACUUAGAGUAGGUACCAGUGCUCACAAAUGUCAGGUAUUGGUUUUACUCCAUGGAAACGGUACUUGGCACACAAGCUAAAUGGUACUUGCCCAGUAAAUGUAGGCUCCACCCUCUGGUCCCCUUGAUUGUUACGUCUUGUGUUUCCUACCCCCAAAUUCAAACACACAAGAUUCCCUUUGAUCUCCCAUCUGUAAAAUGUUAUUACCUUGUUCAUACUCAAGUGUAAAUGACUGGUAGUCAUUUAAUUUAUACCAGAGGAGCAGUCAAAAAUUCAGCCAAAAGAACGAUGUGCUGAUGGUGGAUUCUCAGGCCACCAGCCAGGCUGAGGGUAGGGGGCACUUGGGAAGGUAGCUCUCCCAGAGUCCUUCAGUGAUAACCUUAUCAGCCGGCCAGGUACCUCGAGGGUAGAAAGGAUAUCAGGCCCAAGACCCAGCUCUGCUUCUAAGUGCUGUGUGACUUUCAGCAACUCACUGACCUCUCUGAAUUUCAGCUUCCUCAUCUGCUUAACGGGAUUACUUUUCUGCCUUUCUCAAGGGGCUGUUUGAAAUUAAAUGCACCUGAAAAUGGUCUGCAUUUGUCUCUCCAGAUUGUGGUUAUCUGUCCAUGCGUCCGUCCACUCUCCCCAGCCUGGGCAGGGAGGAGGUGUUCUGUGAACACGAGUGGUACUGAAGUGCACAUCCUGAUCUUGGGACAUAACCCCAUCCAUGCAUCCAGUCACAGCCCACAUGCACUUUCUCUUCCAUCUCCCAUCAUGCCCUGCAGUGACCCGGCGAAGCUGGGAAUACCCCAUUUAGCAGAGGAGGAAACUGAGGCCUGGGGAGGACAGGGCAUUUGCCUGAGGCCACAUAGCUAGAAGUGGUGGGCCUGGGAAUCAGCCACAAGCACUUGACUGCCAAAUCUCUGCCAUCACAUGAUAUCUGGUCAUCAGAGCUGGUGCUGGAAGGGCAGCAGCUUCCCUUCUCCCUUCUCACAGGGCUGUGGGAUGGGCAGAAAGAUGCCUCGCUCACUUCAGGCACAGGCUGCAUCAGCCUUAACUGUAGGAGGUCACGUUUUAAAGAUCUCUACGUGGAGGGAUCAUCACCCUACAGACAGCAAACUUCAGGCUCAGAGAAGUAAAGGCAUUUGGCCAGGAAGUUGAGGGCAGGACUUGAACCCAAGGAUGUCAGACCCCGAUGGUUGUGCUCUGACCACUACUUGGCAGUGCCCUGACGCCUACACACCUGGCUUGAGAGGCAGGAGGACAGAUCUGGGAGUACGUGCUACUUCACUGUGGAGAUGCCAGGGUGAGGUGGGCAGAUGGUCUUCCUAGCAGGCAGACCUGUCCCGGGAAUGUACCCUCUGCAGGAGGACAGGACCGCCUGUCCCCAGAGGAAUGCAAAACGCCAGGGAGGUUGUAGUCAGUCCUGAAAGGGCAGUGACCAGUGGCCAUUCAGGACUGCUGCUGACCCUUCCGGGGGACGCCUUCGCACCCUCUUACCUCUCCUCCAGUCCCCUUUGUCCCACUCCUCCCUCGUCUCUGCCUGUGACCCUUGUGUGAGUUGGGCAAGUUCCUUGACCUCCCUCGUAAAUUCGUAGGUAGUGUGUUUAAGCACCGUCCAAAGGAUCAAGGGCUCAGUAAGACCAGUUUCGAUUCUCCCCUCCCUUCAUCCCGGAGAGCAACGAGGAACAGGAGGCUGGACCCCUGGGGGCUAAGUCUCCUCCUCCUACCCAGCGGGCAUCCCUUCCCACC
ensembl:lncRNA